AUCCAUCUGACGAGUGCCGAAUAGGACGAAAUGCGCUUUAUCCUGGAU
rnacentral:hammerhead_ribozyme from 1 species